GCCGGGAUGGCGGAAUUGGCAGACGCACGGGACUUAAAAUCCCGGGUUCCCUUAACGGAGCGUGCCGGUUCAACUCCGGCUCCCGGCA
rnacentral:tRNA from 1 species